CGGGGAGAGAGUGAGAGAUGCUCGGAGAUCCCUGUGGGGAGAGAGCCCCUCCACUCUCUUAUUUUACAAGGACCCAGUUUCCCCAUGGGGGGUUCACCGCCAGUCCCCACUGGGUCCGGGCCGGCCCCCUUUCCCCUCCCCAUCCCCACUCUUGCCUUCCCCCCUCCUUGGACCCCUCUGACCUCUGACACCCACACUGCCAGCCUCACUUAGGAGGCCCUUUCCCGAGGGUGGAGGCCCUGAUGAGGGGAACCCAGACCUCCCCAGUGCCCCUGAUGCCCUGGAGCCAGCAGCUAUGGGGGUGACCCCGUCACUGUCCUCGGGGAUCGCUUAUUGGAUUUGGCCCCAGGGCUCCCAGCAGCGGGUCCCUGGGGCCCGACUUGGGCUGGUGAUGGGAGAUUCCAGAUCUCCCGCCAUGGAGCGCUCUGCCCACCCCGAAGGAAGCCGGCCUGGCCCAUGAUGCCUCAGGAUUGGGCUGUGUCCCCUCCGGGCAGUGCACCCCUCCCCCUUUUGGAUCAGCAUCCCAGGCUCCUGGUUCAAGACUCCGGACAGCGCCUCCUCUUCCCCUUGCCAGAGUCUCCCAGAUUGCCCAAGUUCUGGGCCGAGGGCCCUGGGGCAGCCUGUGGCCUCUCCCGGAAAGAUGGACAGCUUGCACGGAAUCCAGACUUUGGGCAACGGAGGCGGGGCUUUGUAAGUUUGGAGCCACAACCCGGGGGGUGCCGGAGGCCCAGAACACGGUCCUGUUAUUAACGCCAGUGGCUCUGGGAGCUCCUCAGGGUUCAGCUCAUUCUUCUCAUCUGACAGAUGAGGAAGCUUCAUCAGGUCAAUCCCACAACUCUGAAGCUGGACCUGGGGCCCCUGACUUCAGACACCUCCAUAUCCCUGCCAUCCCUGCACCUGACUAGUAGAGAAUGACCAAAGAUUGCUGAGGAGCAGGGAGAGACAGGGUUCAAACUGGAUGUGGCUGAGAGUGGCGGGAUGGUCUGAAAUGAACGGAUCAGAGAAUGAACGAAGUUGGGAAGAUCUGGUUGGAAGAGGCAGUCUGACGAGAUUGGGAUAGAGGGCACAGAACGUCAGUGUAGGGGGAAUCUGCAAAUAAUCUGUGUGUGGCCUGCAGCUGCCCUCCAUUGCUCCUGCCUCCAAGGGGAGAUCAGCCUUUCCGUUAGGCCCUUCCCAUUCACCUCACACCCCAUCUGCUCCCUGGGGCAGACUCAGAUACUUGGAGACAACCACGACAUCACUCCCAAGUCCCCCUAGACCAAAUGCCCCUAGUUCCCUCAGCCACAAAGUCCCUAGUUUUUAGCCCACCUGCCAUCCUUGAGACUCUUCUUUUUAUUUAUUUAUUUAUUUUUUAUUUAAUAGCCUUUUAUUUACAGGUUAUAUGUAUGGGUAAUUUUACAGCAUUAACAAUUGUCAAACCUCUUGUUCCAAUUUUUCCCCUCCUUCCCCUCACCCCCUCCCCCAGAUGGCAGGAUGACCAGUAGAUGUUAAAUAUAUUAAAAUAUAAAUUAGAUACACAAUAAGUCUACAUGACCAAACCGUUAUUUUGCUGUACAAAAAGAAUCAGACUCUGAAAUAUUGUACAAUUAGCCUGUGAAGGAAUUCAGGAAUUCAGGUUAGGGGGAAAUUGUCAAUCUUUAUUCUCAGUGAAGAAAGAUCGGAGGUGGAAGAGAAUAGGCAAUAACAGUGUGGGCAGCUGAGUCAAGAAGUUAGCCAGACCAGCAGCCACGAGAUCAGCACCACCAGAGUAGAACCCAGGCCCAUUCUCUCCCAGCCUCUCUUCCUGUCUCUCUGCCUCCACCGACCAAAAUCGUCAUUUCCUAUACACCACAUCAGGACUUGCACGGAGAGUGGGCAGGGGCCAUUCUUUAUCCAAGCAUGUAUAUUAAUAAAGUAUAGUCCAAUUACUAUUUAGCCUCAUGUGCUUGGGACCUCAGUCCCAACUCAAGCCUUAGCCCAUUACAAUGGUCUACACAGCCAUCUGAUUAAACUAUUAGCCUAGUCCCAAGUCCCUCCUUCACACUAUUGCCGGACAUCUUUCUCACCCAAUGCUCAAGUCCCACUGUUCCAUAAUGUGGCACCAUCCUUCCUCUCUACUCAUAGUCUGAUGACAUUGCCUCCCCUCACAUCCCCUGGUAGUUACCCAAACACACAUAUCCCUAUCCCAGUUAUUGGAAGGAGGUGAUCCACUGGAGAGGAUCCCAAUGAUGAUGAUGAUGAUGAUGAUGAUGACAGUGAUGAUGGUAAUUAUGAUGAUGAUGAUGAUGAUAAUGGUGAGGAUGAUGAUGAUGAUGAUAUGAUGGUGAUGAUGACGAUAAUGAUAUAAUGGUGAUGAUAUUGAUGGUGAUGAUGGUGAUAAUCAUGAUGAUGAUGGAUGAUGAUGAUGGUGAUGAUAAUGAUGAUGAUGAUGAUGAUAAUAAUAUAAUGGUGAUGAUAAUGAUGAUGAUGAUGAUGAUAAUGCUAAUAUUGAUGAUGAUGGUAAUAAUGUUAUGAUGGUGAUGAUGAUGAUAAUAGUGAUGAUGAUGAUGAUGGUGAUGAUGAUGAUGGUGAUGAUGUUGAUAAUGGUGAUGAUAACGAUGGUGGUGAUGAUGAUAAUGAUUGAUAAUGAUGAUGAUGAUGAUGUUGAUAAUGAUAUAAUGGUGAUGAUAUUGAUAGUGAUGAUGGUGAUAACCAUGAUGAUGAUGGGUGAUGAUGAUGGUGAUGAUAAUGAUGGUGGUGAUUAUGACAAUGAUGAUUGAUAAUGAUAAGGAUGAUGAUGGUGAUGAUUGAUAAUGAUAAUGAUGAUGAUGAUAAUGCUAAUGUUGAUGAUGAUGGUAAUAAUGUAAUGAUGGUGAUGGUGAUGAUGAUGAUGAUGGUGAUGAUGAUGAUAAUGGUAAUGCUCAUGAUGAUGAUGAUGGUAAUAAUGUUAUGAUGGUGAUGAUGAUGAUGAUGAUGGGGAUGAUGAUGAUGAUGGGGAUGGGGAUAUGAUUAUAAUGAUGACAAUGAUGAUUAUGAUGAUGGUGAUGAUGGUGAUAAUAGUAAUGAUGAUGAUCAUAAUGAUAAUGGUGAUGAUAAUGAUUGAUAAUAGUGAUGAUGAUGAUGAAGAUAAUGAUGAUGAUGAUGAUGAUGAUGAUGGUGAUAAUGGGAUGAUGGUGAUGGUGAUGAUAAUGGUGAUGAUGAUCAUCAUAAUGAUAAUGGUGAUAAUGGUGAUUAUGAUGAUGGUAAUGAUUAUGUUGAUGUUGAUAAUGAUAAUAUGAUGUUGAUGCAGGUAAUAUGGACCAAGCCUUGUGUAGCCUGGUGAUACAAAGACAAAAGUGAACAAUCCUACUUUUGUGUUUGUGUUCUAGUGGGGUAACAACAUAUACAUAUGCAUAUUAAAUAGAAAAAUGAUAGAAAGUCAUUUGGGAGGGGAGCAUAUACUCGGGGAAUAUGUGGUAAAGAGGCAGAGAUUCGAACUGG
rnacentral:lncRNA from 1 species